UAAUACCAGAAGAUUUCAGCAUAGCAGAUAAAAUACAGCAAAUCCUAACCAGCACAGGUUUUAGUGACAAGCGGGCCCGUUCCAUGGACAUAGAUGACUUUAUCAGAUUGCUACAUGGAUUCAACGCAGAAGGUAUACAUUUUUCUUAGGUAUCUGGAAAAGAGAAUUUUCAAGCCCAAGAAAAAGAAACCGCAAUUAUACAUAUCUAACAGAGAAGAUAAACUAUGCUUUUGCUCCACUGGAACACUAUGUGCUUGACUAGUUUUGAUUUAAUACUACCACUGUCACCAUUUAUUACUCUGAAGUUUUAUGGUAGUAAGUCAAUUCUAAGUACCCAAGUUUUUUUUUGGUUUUUUUUUUUUUUUUUUUUUGGUUUUGGUGUUUUUAAUAUUUAACAUAGGGCAGGGUCCAGUCUCUACACGGUAAUCUUUAAGAGCCGCAGGCACGCACAACUUUACACUUAAACUUAUUUCUAACAGUUUAUUGUAUAAAGAU